rnacentral:lncRNA from 1 species
AAGUUGUUAGGUGUCAAAAAAAGUACACAAGUUGUUAACAUUUGAAUUUAGAUUUACGUUCGCCUUUUACUCGUUCUAUUUUUUGCAUAAUUGUGUCCUGUCUGUUAAGACAUGCUGAAAAGCUAGCUAUUCUGCAGCAAGCAGAGAGUCAUGGGCUCUUUCUGUGAGUCACCUGCUUCUCAUGUACAAAUAUUUCACCAUCUAAGUUUGAAAUAAAAUUGUACAUCGAAGAUAUCAAUGAUUUGCCAAGACUCCAAAGUCUUGUUGUUAUUUUUUGUAACUUCUGAUCUUGAACUUUGAUAGACAGAUAAUUAUGACUCUUUGACAUCAGAAAAUAUUUUAGUUUAUUUUGGGGUGGAUGUUAUUAUGGCAUCAAUACGGCUUCAUUCCACUUUAUCUGGCGCGACACAGGUCAAUAACUACUUCCUUUGAUUUCUUCAUCAUGAAUGCCUAUGUGCAUCUAUUAAAAAACCUUUAUUGUUUGUAUUGAGUGAAUAAGAACUGCAGUAGUUUCUCAAUGUGGAGGCCAUUAUAUUUAUGAUAUAAGAUGGAAUCCCGAAGGGCGAUGUAUACUUUUGGGGUUAAGGAUAUAAAGAACAACAUGGCUUAUGAGGUUGAAGAGAGCUCAAGUGGCAUCUUUUGGUUCUUGGAGGCCUGCACUUUCCUGGUGGAGCAGUAGCAAAAUAAUUCAGAGGCUUUAAAGCUACUCCACUUCACGUAGUUAGGAUCAAUUCUUUGUUUCGGUUUGAAAUAUUCCCCAGUCCCUCCUAUUUGAUCGAUUCAUCUAAUGGACAUUUUGCCAGGCAAAUAAAGAGAAGGCAGAUGUAUUGUUUUUUCUGGAGUACGGGAUAUGUAUUGUUACGAGUGAAGCCAUCCAUACAAGUCGGUAUAUUAAUAACCCCAUAUGUGGAAUUCAAGAUAUAGAGAAAUGUUCUUGUUCUGCUAAUCGGUUGCUUUACCAAAUGUACUGUAAAUGACGUUAUUAUUGUUCAAGAUAUAGAUAAAUGUUAUUGUUCUUCAUUGUAG